GGAUCAAAUACGCAAAUAGUUAUG
rnacentral:siRNA from 1 species